UGUUUUUUAGUAUAAAUAAAUAUGUUCAGUUUCGACCUGAAGGAUUCCGUUGGAAAAAACAU
rnacentral:tRNA from 1 species